GACGAACGCUGGCGGCGUGCUUAACACAUGCAAGUCGAACGGAAAGGCCCUGCUUUUGUGGGUUGCUCGAGUGGCGAACGGGUGAGUAACACGUGUGUAACCUGCCCUUGACAUUCUGAUAACUCUAGGAAACUGCGGCUCUUACCGGAUAGGAGCUCCUGCUGCAUGGUGUGGGUUGGAAAGUUUCGGCGGUUGUGGAUGGACUCGCGGUUUAUCAGCUUGUUGGUGUGGUAGUGGCUUACCAAGGCAAUGACGGAUAGCCGGCCUGAGAGGGGGACCGGCCAGACGGGAACAGAGAAACGGCACAGAACACGAGGGGAGGCAGGAGGAGGGAAUCGUGCGGAAUGGGCGAAAGCAUGACGGAGCAACGCCGCGUGAGUGAUGAAGGUCUUCGGAUCGUAAAACUCUGGUAUUAGGGAAGAACAGAUGUGUAAGUAACUGUGCACAUCGUGACGGUACCUAAUCAGAAAGCCACGGAUAACUACGU
rnacentral:rRNA from 1 species